AGGAGGAGGAGGAGGAGGAGGAGGAGGAGAAAGAGAAGAAAAAAUGUUUGCAAAAAGAAGACGGGUCUUUUUCGAAUUCGCACGUGCAUGAAAGUCUGUUACUGAAACCACUGAGCUGUCUCCCCAGCCCACCUUCAACCAUCAUUCGGGAACAAUUAGAGAGCUGAAGAGUGAGGACGCCCAUGUGGGGGACCGUCUCGGUAUUGUACCCAUGCCACACAUUCCGGCGGGAAGGAACACAGUAAUGUAGAAAGCAUUAGUGGAGCGAACGCUCGGCUCAGCGUUUGGGGAAUCGGAUCGUCGGGAUGUUUCUGGCAAGAACUCAUACUCUAGUUGAAAUCUAUCAAACACCUUAAUUAGCUCUGGGUACCUCGAUGCACCCAGCCCAGAGGCAAGUCGGAAGGUUCUGGAGGAAGGAACGAGAGCUUCAGGGAUGUGGCUUGAGCCUCCCUGGAUCUCCCAGGACCCGUGGGCCUCGGUUUCCAGACAGGAACACGCGGGUCCUGGUGAGAAGAUGACACAUCCCCGGGUCUCCUGAAGCCACCUCUGGGGACACAGAAGAGGGUGUCUUCGUAGUUUGGCGGGUGUCUGGGCCUCGGGAUGGGACAAGGCCACGCUGAGACAAGCUGUUGCCAGCAGUAAACGGAGCCUUUUCCUGAGCCAACCAUUCCACCUGGACCUCUGCACAAAUUAUUGUUUUCAAUUACCACCUGUGUAUUCCUUCCCAUGCAACUUAUUGACGUAGAAUUACAGCUACAGCGGUAUAAAUAAGUUAUGCCGCGGUUGUAAAAUGGAAGAAAUUUUGUUGUAGCAAUUAUGUUCAGCAAGAUGACAAAAUAAA